rnacentral:misc_RNA from 1 species
GAUGAAGAACGUAGCGAAAUGCGAUACUUGGUUUGAAUUGCAGAAUCCCGUGAACCAUCGAGUCUUUGAACGCAAGUUGCGCCCGAAGCCAUCAGGUUGAGGGCACGUCUGCCUGGGCGUCACAUAUCGUUGCCCAAUGCCUAUUGCAGUGCAAUAGGAAUUUCUAGGGCGAAUGAUGGCUUCCCGUGAGCGUUGUUGCCUCGCGGUUGGUUGAAAAUCGAGUCCUUGGUAGGGUGUGCCAUGGUAGAUGGUGGUCGAGUUAGAACGAUACCGAUCAUGUGCAUGCUCCCCAAAAUAUGGCCUCUAUGACCCACACGCGUCUUUUGACGCUCAUGACGAGACCUCAGGUCAGGCGGGGCUACCCGCUGAAUUUAAGCAUAUCAAUAAGCGGAGGA